GGAAGGUGCUACAAAGAAUGCAACAAUAAUAUGUUCCAUUGAAUUACAUAGUCACUUGAAAUUCACCAGAUCGAAUGCGUCCGUGGCAUACUAAAAACAGGAGUGUCCAAUCGAGGUAUUAAGAAAAAUAUGCAAUUCUUAGAUCAAGUCAGAGUUCAUACACAAGUAAUCAUUAUCACAGUACAGAAUUGGUGGUACAAGAAUAGAGAGGCUGAUGGGAAGCCAACGGUCG